UCUGUGAGUAUACAGCUAGAGUGUCAGAAAGUACCACAGGGAUAACUGCUUGUGGCAGCCAGCGUCAUAGCGACGUUGCUUUUUGAUCUUCGAUGUCGGCUCUUCCUAUCAUUGAGACGCAGAAGUCUCAAAGUGUCGGAUUGUUCACCCGCCAAUAGGGAACGUGAGCUGGGUUUAGACCGUCGUGAGACAGGUUAGUUUUACCCUACUGACAAAGUAGAUACUGCGACAGUAGUCGAAGUUAGUACGAGAGGAACACUUCGUCCAGAUACUUGGUUAAUGCCGUUGUCUGAAAAGACAGUACGGCGAAGCUACCAUCUGCUGGAUUACGGCUGAACGCCUCUAAGCCGGAAUCCAUGCUGGAUAAGCAGUGUUGUACACCGUGCUCAAUGCUACAAGAAAAAGGCUAGGUCAGGCUUCGGCCUGACCAAAAUUCAAGCUGCUAUACCUCUGGCUGCAUUGACUUGUGGUCAGAGUGUAUGGUGAUCAUAGCAAUUGCAAGUAUUGGGCUCGAUAAAUCCUUUGAAGACGACUUAAUUGCAUCCGGGUAUUGUAAGUGUUGAGAGUAGGCUUAGUCUUACGAUCCACUGAGAUUCAUCCCGUGUUGCGCCGAUUUGU
rnacentral:ncRNA from 1 species